UACGCUUUCGUUCGUAUAGAGGACCUUGCGAAAAUCUCCAAUACCCUCUCUUCUGCUUCGACUUUUCACUCGUUAUCAUCAGGUGACCAUGCUAUUAUUUAUGUGUAAUCGUGCAAGCAGAGCAAGAAAUCUUGUACAAAAAAUUGAUGAUCAAUGAAGAGAGAUAAGCAGCAAGAAAUAAGCGAGAAAUUUUUUUAAGCCAAUGAAUAGUUAGAAUCAGAAGUGAAAUUAUAUUUGUCUAAUUCAUGUACAUGUAUAUAAGCUGUAUGAUUUUGUAAUUGUUUACAGACAAAAAUGAAUGCCCUUGACAAUAUUUGGGCUAGUGGUUGAGGAUGUUCAGAAGGGAAACUCUAGUCUUGACAAUACUCCGAGAAAGGCAUUCAAAAACUUCUUCAAGAUCUUGAAUGUUCAAUUCCAACUUCCCGAGCCAGGUCUGUACAUUAUCAAUAACCAAAGAGUAAUCAGAUUUGCUUGGCUUG